GCAGUCCUGCAGGCUGGGAGAAAGCAGAAAGCUCCCCAGCACACCUAACAAUCACUGGUAGAUACCUUGCAGUGUGCAUUGUUUGGAAUGGGAGGAAGAAAAAUAUGUGGCAAGAGUGUGAAACAACUAAACAUUUAACCUAAAGUUGGUGUGGAUGGCGAAAAAAGACAAGAGGGAGAAUCACCCUCAAAUCGCCAUCCAUGUGCCCACGUCUGAAAGUACAUGUCUCUCCCACUGCGUGGAUCCAUAGACCUUGAGGAGGGGCCGAGAUGCAGAAUUCCAUCUUGCUUUUAAUGUGCAAAUCUUUGGGGCAUUGUUUGGACACCUAGUAGGUGAUAACCUCUUCCUGCAACUCCCUGAGAAUCUUGAAAUCUUGUAUUGACUUUGCCAAGGAAUGAAAACUCUUAAGAGAAUGUUUCUAAACUUUUGCCUUUGUAGACACCUCAGGUUUGCUAUUAUAAGGGAGUCAUUGUUUUAUUAUUUUGACUAGCACAGCACAGAUUACAGACAAAAAUAGAAAUAGUGAAGUACCUGCCAAUGCUCCUUGCUGAAAUGGCUCCCUUUAAUGCAAAUAUUUAGUUGGAUAUAAAAACAUAGCUCUACUAGGUAGCAACUUGGUAAAAGAAAAAUCUGGAAAAUAAAUGAAAAUCCUUGAGAUCAAUAUCAGUCUCAAGUAGUGUGGAUACCAUCAAUUUUAUGGAAUAGUGGGAGUAUUAGAACCUCAAAGAGGAAAAAAGCUUAAUUACAGCGGAAAUAAACCAGUUCAGGAAAAAAUCAUAAAAGUGCUGUAAGUUAGGUCUGAUCAAAAAGACACUGAUGAGAAUACUGGCAAAAGAAAAGACAGAGAAAGAUUUAUUGUGUCUAUCAAGCAUUGAGUUGUGUUCUGAAACACUUAUGUUUCCAUGGACUGAGAAUUACUGGAAUAAAACAUUUACUUAGAAACAGAGUGAACACGCAGACAUUAUGCUGAUUAUGACAUGUUUGUAGAGAAAGGGAAAAGGAAAUGUUUUGCAGGCAAGGAUGGGUUAUUGGACUGGAAUACAUGAUUGAUUUCUUUUACUACUGUAGGCUGGAUUUCACAGAGUAACCACAUAGUGCCAAACACGACAUUAUUGACUGCCAGUACAAAAAUCAGUAGAGGAGGAUGUAUCUUGCCUGAAUUUAACCUUUUGAGACAAUCAUAGGUAUGUACAGAGUUGGAAAAGUUCACUGUCUGAAGGUGCUUUUCUCGCAGUGCUCUCUGCAGGGACUGCCCACGCAGCUAGUUUAUUCUAUAUGCCAACAUCUUGGGCAGAUGAAUUGAGUGGAGUUCUGUCCCCUGGAUUCAUGAAAUUUAAUCAUUGCAAAAUUUGAGAGAGGAGGUGUUUGUUUUUUUUUUGUUUUCUUCCUUCUCCCACUUGAUUUUUUUUUUUUUUAAUUGCCUCAUGCUAUUCUUCCAAUUUUGGAACUGAAAAAGAUUAAGAGUAAGUUACUAAAAUCAGUUUUCUCAGAGAUUAGUA